ensembl:miRNA
UCAGGCAAAGGGAUAUUUACAGAUACUUUUUAAAAUUUGUUUGAGUUGAGGUAGAGUAAAUAUCUAUAUUCUCCUUUGCCUGCAG